rnacentral:rRNA from 1 species
GAUGAACGCUGGCGGCGUGCUUAACACAUGCAAGUCGAGCGAGAAGUGAAGACGGAAACCUUCGGGCGGAAGGCUUUAUUUCGAGAGGCGGACGGGUGAGUAACGCGUGGGUAACCUGCCUCAUCCAGGGGGAUAACAGUUGGAAACGACUGUUAAUACCGCAUAAGACCACAGCACCGCAUGGUGCGGGGGUAAAAACUCCGGUGGUAUGAGAUGGACCCGCGUUCGAUUAGCCAGUUGGCGGGGUAACGGCCCACCAAAGCGACGAUCGAUAGCCGAUCUGAGAGGAUGACCGGCCACAUUGGGACUGAGACACGGCCCAAACUCCUACGGGAGGCAGCAGUGGGGAAUAUUGCACAAUGGGGGAAACCCUGAUGCAGCGACGCCGCGUGAGUGAAGAAGUAUUUCGGUAUGUAAAGCUCUAUCAGCAGGGAAGAAAAUGACGGUACCUGAGGAAGAAGCCCCGGCUAACUACGUG